rnacentral:lncRNA from 1 species
AAAACUCUACUCCGAUCUAGACAAUUAUUACAAAGCGAAUUGACAUUCUGUUGCCCGGCACAUCAUUGGUUGGUGCUUCUUCCGAUUCUUCGGUGCAUCAUCCUCUCUUGCGGCUUGUUGCCCAAUCGACGGUUGACCUCCGCAACCCCGAUAUCCUUGGCGUAAUUCCGCUCUUGGCCCGAUGCCCGACAUCCGAAGCCUUUUGCCAUCCAAUAUCCUAACGUGAUCUCCUCCGGCGCAACGUCAAUUCCUCCUGCGUUAACUGUCUAAUCAUGAUCGAGUAGACCUGCAUCACUCAAAAUGCAGUUAAACAUCUAAACACAAUCAAUUAGUUUCAUCAUCAAAAU